rfam:Corynebacterium glucuronolyticum ATCC 51866 genomic scaffold SCAFFOLD8, whole genome shotgun sequence.
UUUCAGUUGCUGUGCCGAUGUGCGUUGGAAUCCGCAGUAGCUGAAGUAAUAAUUCAGACGUCCAUCGCACCGCUUGCCUCACAGCGGUAAAUGAACACGGGAGAGAACGCUGAGCGUUACAUA